AUUAAGUUGGGCACUCUAAUGAGACUGCCGGUGAUAAACCGGAGGAAGGUGGGGAUGACGUCAAGUCAUCAUGCCCCUUAUGACCUGGGCUACACACGUGCUACAAUGGACAGUACAACGAGAAGCGAGCCUGCGAAGGCAAGCGAAUCUCUGAAAGCUGUUCUCAGUUCGGACUGCAGUCUGCAACUCGACUGCACGAAGCUGGAAUCGCUAGUAAUCGCGGAUCAGAACGCCGCGGUGAAUACGUUCCCGGGCCUUGU
rnacentral:rRNA from 1 species